CCAAUUUUGUGGCAGAACAUUUUUUCUUUGAGCCUUCGCUAUCCAGUCUGCCACUUUGUUGGACUCUCUAUUACAAAAGGCCAACUUAAUAUCAGUAAAAUUUUCCAACAGAUCUUUGGCUUUCAAAAUAAGCACAUGUAUAUCCCACUUGAAAUAAUCUACACAUGUGACAGCUUUAACCAAGUCUAAAUUAUCCGACUCUAGUAGAAGGCAAUCCUUUGCCCGUUCAGAGAAGAAGACUAGCGUUUCUAGAAGAGCACUAACCUCGGCUCGAGCUGCAGAGUCGACCCUCACUGUUUUUGCAAAACCAUCUACCAUUCUUCCAUAGCUAUCUCGCAUCAUAGCAGCUACUACCCCCGACGUUGAACCUUCAAUAAAGGAAGCAUCAAUAUUGAUCUUCAGGACUCCCUGUUGCGAAUUUCGCCAAAUUUGAGUCUUCGGAAUAUGAAAUUGUUCCUUGAUUUCCAAAUAAGCCAAAGGACAGUCGCAAGUAGCUCAAAAGUGAAGGAUUGGACCAGACUUGUUUCGUCCAUGGACAGAGGAAAAAAAGAUGCUCAAUAGUUUCGGGAUGUUGGUGAGAUAGCUCACACAUCGGUUCUGGUACAAUACUUCUUCUGAAUAGAUUUACCUUUGUUGGUAAUGCAUUUUGACAUAUCGCCCAUAGGAAAAAUUUGAUCUUCGGUUCUGUGUUUGCCUUCCAAAUUUUUGUGCACAAUGCUUCGGGGGUUUGAUAUGAAGAAGAAGCCUGAUUUGGGUUUGGUUUCAUUGCAAGGUCUUUGUUUCUAUUAUAGCCACUCUUGAUUGUAUAGGAUCCUGAUUUGGUAUUUAACCAAACCAGUUUGUCUUCAGUGUCAUGUGACCUCAGUAGGAUUGCAAGAAUUUCAUCGACAAUUUGUUCAUCAAAAAGCUGUUGUAGCUUCAAUUCAUUCCACUUCGACUCCUCCUGCAAAA